rnacentral:misc_RNA from 1 species
CGGGCAGCGCAGCGCUUGCGGCGCGCAUGGCGCCGGCGCUCUCGGCGACGGUAGGAGCAAUGAGGACGUACAGCGAGGGACCCCGCUUGCAAGCGCGCGGUCCCCGCUAUUUGUCGGGCCUCGUUGUAGACACUACGGUCAUGCCGGAAGCAGCUCGCAACUAGCCGCCGUCGGCUGAGAGAGCAGCCAGCCAUCGUAGCAUAAAAGACGGUGGCCCAAAAUUGCCGGUGAUGCUGCAGGUGACUCCUCGAGUCAGCUUCCCAAUGAAUGACGCACCGCGCCGGAGCAAAAUCAUCAUCGCAUCAGCUGGCAUUGGCAUCAUUCUGCUUGGGGUGCUCACCAGGUACCUCAGGAGACGUUUUGUUGACUUCAAAAGUGCCGUUGUCAAUGGAGAGGUGGCUAAUGUGGUGUGGUGCGGUCGGUGUCGAUGUGGACGCCGAACCAGCGGCCCCCGUGGGUCUCUGCGCGCACUACAAGGCCCCACAGCUGCGGACCGGGCAUCCAUGGCACACAUGGGACCCCAGCAGCUGGCCAGCUUGGGUCUGGACUCCCUGGACCAAGUGAUCAGCUACUGGGAGCAGGCCCUGCAGCGGAUCAGAACAGGCGGCUCCACUUCUGGCAAUGAGAGCCUGGCCACCAGCCUGGAAUUCCUGCUUGUGGAAGGCCAGCGGCUGCGCGGUGCUGCCCACUGGCGCCUGUUCGCCGAGGGAGGAGGAGUCCCUCCCCUGGCCCUGGAUGACCCGCAGCUGGCUGACUUCACCCACCCCCCCUCUCUGGCCGACACCGAGAGUUUCGUCUCGGCUGAGGGCACGUCCGAUGUAGCAGUGGUGGCUGAUCUGGAGGCCAGCCCAAUUCCCCCGGUGGAGCAGUCAGCUCUGUACAUGGAAGCAUUGGAGCUGCUCAAGAGAGAAGGCAUCCCUUGCCGGACAUACAGGGUGGAAGUGGUUCGGUGCAGCUCACGGGAAGACUACCUGGCCAAGAUCCACUGCAUACGCCUUGCAUUCAAGCGCCUAACAAAUCAGCCAGAUGUUCUCCAGUGGCUUAUAGAAGCAGCCAAUCAUAUUCUUGGAGGCUUCAUGCUGUGUGCUGGAAAAGACCCAAAGGAUGCGCUGCACGCGUACCGUGAGCUGGUUGCCUACCUGCUGGACAGCAGCCACUACGACCAAAUUGCCAAGGAGCUGCAGUACAAAGGGGUCAGUUGGAGCCAGCCAUCACAGCGUUGCAUGCCCCAGGUGGUGUGCCCAACAGUGUAUGAUGUCGUGAUUGACUACGUCCUCCUGGAUGCCUUUGAUGACCUGAGCAGCCCGCCGCAGUCAGUUGUGGCUGUUAUCCAGAACCGGUGGCUGACCGCAGGGUUCAAGGAAACAGCGCUGUCUGCGGCAAUUUGGUCUCUCUUCAAGGCCAAGAAGGGGCUGCUUCCCGUUUACAAGCAUGAAAGUGGAGCACCAGCUUAGUGCACCAAUCAAACCCGCAGCUCAAGCGUGCCGAAACAUGGAAAUGUGGAGCAAGGUGCAGCUCUUGAAGACCAUUGAAACCCGCAGCUCACGGGCACUUUCCGCAAGCAACACUGUGCAUCACAGCGGCACGCGUCGCGCCAAUAUGAAGCAUGUGAAACGAAGCUGCAUCUGUGCGCUGCAUUGCCACUCAGCCACCGCGACCGUUGCCACACCGUCGCUUGCAUGUGAAACAAGCUUCAGGGAGACCACACACCUCUGGUUCUCUCAUGGCUUCUUCUCACACUACUACGCCCUGAUGGAACAAAUUGUGCCCGUGCUUGCCUGGGGCUUUCUGGGCACUGAUAAUGACCUCAAGGAU